AUGUGAGCUCAGGGCCAGCCUUCCUCAGCAAAAAGAGGAGGAUUGGCAGCAGAUGUUAGCUCAGGGCUAAUCUUCCUCGGAAAAAAAAGAAUUUCCCUUUAGAUAUUUUCUCAAAGUGAAUACAACAUGUUCAUAAAAUCCCCUACAUGAGGUCUUAAGGCCACUGAAACCACCAUGUAAUGAUCUUUCUUUCUCAGGGGAAGCAGAUGGAAUUAUCAGACUGUGCCUACUGUUUUUAAACAAGGCUUGCCAAUAUCUGUGCCUGCUUCCAAGAGCUGGGCUGUACUUCUGCAGUGAGGGAGAGAACAUGUAAUCGUCCCUUGUGAAGAGAUCAGCUCUUUCAUUUAGGAAUCGUGCUUCUUGCUUUCAGGGUUUGUUCUCUGAAUAGACAUGUCCCUGCAGCUGGUCUGACUGAGCAGGAGCUUGUCUGUUAGAAUCUCAAUAAAAAUGGUGAAAGCGUGCCUGAGGGCCUGGAUUAGGGUGAAGCAAGCAAGGCACUUGCUCCAGUGGCAAGAUUUAAGGAGGCAUCAAAAAGCUCAGUAAUCAAGACAAAUAUUUUAAUGCAGUAUUUUAAAAAAUUAAAAUUAAUGCCAAGCAAUCCAGAAUAAAACAUCAAAAUUUUAAAUAAAGGCAGUGUAUUACUUUCCUAGGGCUGCUGUAACAAAGUACCAUAAACUGAGUGGCUUAAAACAGAAAUGUAUGGUCUCCCAGUUCUGGGGGCUGGAGGCCCUCAGGGAGAACCCUGUGCCUCUCUCCUUGCUGCUGGCAGUGGUGGCCGCAGUCUUUGGUGUUCCUGGGCUAGUAGCUGCAUCAUUGCAGUCUCUGCCUCCAUCUUCACAUCUGUGCCCAUCUUUUUCUAUUUUGUAUGUGGGAUGCUGCCACAGCAUCACUGAUGAGCCAUGUGUAGGUCCAUGCCUGGAAUCCAAACCCAUGAACCCCAGGCUGCUGAAGCAGAGCAUGCGAACUUAACCGCUACACCACAGGGCGGCCUUUCUUCUCUUCUUAUAAGGACAUCAGUCAUUGGAUUUAGCAUCUAUCUUAAUCUGGUAUGAUCUCACUUUAUUUCCAAACAAGGUCACAUUCUGAGGCUCCGGAUGGACACGAAUUUUGGGGAGAUACUAUUUAACAGUACAGACAGGAUGAGUAUUACUGGUUUUUUCUUUUGCCUCAAGAUCCAGUAUGGCUCAGCUUGGCGUCCCCUAUUUUAGCACUAGCAUGGGCCUGCCACUGCCAGGUGAGCUGCUAUUACAUCAGCUCUGGGGCCCGAGACUGAGAAGGCUGCACUGUACGUUCUUGCUGAGAAGUUUCACCCACUCUCCUUCAGCUUCCACAGACCUGUAUGAUGACUCUGAAAUCUCUCUUUCCAGACUCAUCACCCUCCUGAGUCCUAGACUCCUUUUCUAGUGCCUCCUGGACAUCCCAACCUGUUAGCCUGCAGGCAUCUCAAAUUUCACUUGCAUCUCACUGAGCUUUUGUGUCUUCUUGCCCUUUAUUGGCAUGAUCACCCCUCUGCCCCCACGACACAAGUGCUUGAGAGUCAUUCUUGACUCUGGUCUCUCACUCUCCCCCAGCAUCUCUCUUCCACCUCAGGGAUGAUUCUGGAUCAUCAUCCUCUGCAGUAGUUCACAGGUCUUUGUCAGGGGGUAUCAGCCUGGACAUGGAGAUGUUCCUAUAGAAUACUAUAUUGAUCAUGGUCUGCUUGGAAAAUAAGAAGUAGUGUUGUGACUUUGUUACAGGUUUAGAUACUAGGCAUAUUUUGGCUCUAAAAGUACAAUGAAGGGUAUUGAUAAUUUUGUAGUUGUCAGCAUGACUUGGACAUUGUUUUGAUGUUUGGUAUUGCUAACCUUGGUCAUCCUAAGCAAAUUCCUUCUAUUCUCUCUCAUCUGUAAGUGUUCCCUUCACCUCCUUGCUCUCAUAGAAACUCCACUCUCCCUGGGGGCACUGCUCCCUCCAGGGCCCCCAGCUUGGCAGUUCACAGGCCUCCUGCCACCUCUGCCCCUGGAGGCAGGGUGGAUGUCUCCUUUCUCCUCCUGGUUACUUCCAGACCAGUUCUCCUCCUCUCUACCCCUACACCUGUUUUUAGUCUUAUGUUAUCAGACUGUACCACAUUCUGCUCACCCAUAGUGCAGUCAUAUAUGGACCCCUCAUUUUUCGAAGAUUCUUAUCUCCAGGCUCACUGCCACUCUCUGAAGCAACUCCUGAUUUCAGUAUCCAAGUGGAUGAUCUUCUAAUAGCCAGGCCUCAUGGUUCCUUUGUUACGGAACCAAAGUGGGUCCACUUCUUGGGGAGUUGAAAUUAGAGCCUUCACCAGAAGUAGUUGUCACACACAGUUUAUUUGCUGCAAAUAAGGAGCCUACAGGGAAUUAUUUCUCAAAGCAUGGCUCCCCAAGCAUAGGACAGCAGGGGCCUUUUAUUUGGGAUGGGGAACGAAUAUUCAAAAGGGAGAGAUGGGUAUUAGCUUGCGCAGGCUCAGUUGAAAAACAUGCUUCCACAUACGUGGCAUGUUAUGGUAGUAAGGCUUAGUCUCCUCUUGGGGUGGAGACUUUAGUAUUAAAAUGAAGCAAAGGGCAACUUUAGGUCUUCUCUCAGCUCACCCGUGCAGUGCUGCUCCUGAGGUGAGGCUCGGUCUGCUUCCGGGUGGUGGGUGACCGCAUGUCUUAACAACAACAAACAAUUUGGAGAAACAGUUAAAUGCUGCUGAAACCUCCCUGGAGUUCCUCAGGGCAAUUAGUCACACUUAGUGACACCUUGACUCCCCCUCCUCCAGGGGAGUAGCCGUGUCCUCUCCCCUGUAACAGCCACUCAGCUCCCAGGGGCCUGCUCUAAACUUUGUUAUACUACCUCCUCUCCUUCCCCCUCCGUCUCGUUCUGCCACCUCCAAUCUUGGCAGCCAGCUCCUUCUAGCAGUUCUUUUCACCUCGCUUGUAGUCUCACCCUUCUGCUUACCUGGUUUAAACUCCAUGAUCAGUCAUUAUAGUCACUCCUUGCAUAACUCUCAGCUCCUAAUCUAAACUCACUCAGCAUAACAUAGCGCCAACUGGGCUUGCUCUAAAUGCAUGAGCCCACCCCCAGGUGGAGCUAUUCUGUCUGACAACCACACAUGUGCCUGGAACGUUUGCCCUCUCUGGAUAACAUGCACACUCUCCUAGGUAACUAGUUUUCACACCUGCCCUUAUUUCUUCGAACCUCCAGUGCCUCUCCCAUCCUAACUCCUUCAGUUUUCCUAAGAAAACAACAAGUGAUCUGAAUGAACAGAACUUCCAGCUCUCAUCACUAUGGCACCCACCAUCCGCCACUGGGCAGAGUAUCGACUCUGUUUUCCUGCCUGUUUCUCCUGUGGGUGGACUGUCUAUGUUUCUAGCUAAGGGUGCCCCCUUUUCCUGUGCCCAAGAUCAGUUAUCAAUCAGUUCAUACAGUGGUCAAUCAAUGGAUUAUUUUCAUCAGUAUACAACUGUAUUCUGCCUAAUUAAAAAACACAUUUCUCACAUCUCUUCCAGCUGCUACUCCAUUUUUGGGCUCUCCAUAGCAAACACCUCGACAUUCCUCCACCUCCUCUCAUUCCAUUCUUUCAUGGAUCCAUUCAAGUUGGGUCUCGCCCUUGCCAUGCCACCAAACCUGUUCUUCUCAAGGUCAGCAUGGCCUCCGUGUAAUGGUUAAUUCUCACACCUCACCUUUCUUGACCUACCAGCACCUAUGACACAGUGGCCUCCGAACUGGCUUCCCUGCUUGUACCCAUGUUUCUCUGUAGUCUAUUCUCAACACACAAGCCACAGUGAUCCUUUUAACGCCUAAAUUAGCUCAUUUCAUUCCUUUACUCAAUAAAUUCAGGAUAGAAGCCAAAAUCCAUACCACGUCCUAAAAGCUCCCCUGAACUGACCUCUCAGGAACUCUGGAAACUUCUCCUGCUGUUCCUUCCCUGGCCACUCCCCUCCACCCACGCUGGCUUCCCAGAUGUUCUUCUGACAGACCUGGGUGUGCUUCCCCUCAGGACGUUUCUGCAGGCAGUUUGCUCUGCCUGAAGGCUCGCCACUGUUCUUCUCUGCCCCUUCCCUCCCUCCUUCCACAUCCACCGCCAGAAUGUCACCCCGAAAGGUGGGGAGGCUGGUCUCUUCAUUUUCUGCCGUAAUCUCAGUGCUGAGGACAGUGUAAGGACUGUGUCCCACACAUCAUGGGCCCUCAUCCAGUAUUUGCUGAAUGACUGGAAGAGUGUCAUGCUUUGUCCUGACCCUGUGCCUUCCAGCAUGUUUUAUUGCCUUGGCCUGGAGUGCCCUUCCUCCCACCUGGAAAGUAUUCAUUUCUUUAGACCCACCUUUUUUGGUGAAAAAUCUUUUUCCCUAGGCAGUCUCUCUUUAUCACCCGUGCUUUCAAAUAUACUUAACCACAAUACUUUUAUUAUACUUAGGAAAUUUAACAUUGACACAAAAAUAUUUUCUAAUACAUAGUCCCUACUCAAAUUUCCCCAACUGUUCCAGUGAUGUCUUUAAAAAACUUUAAAUUGAAGAUUUAAUCAAGGGUCACACAUUAUCUUGUUUCUAAAAUUUGCUUAGUUUUUAAUGUAUCUUAUCACUAAUUCAUACCCACAAUUCCCAGGACAAGAGUAGAAUCCCCUCUCAGCAAGGUCAAAUAAAUGAGAAAAUCUAUUCUAUUUUUCUCUUGGAGACGCCCCUCCCAAAGGUCUCCAUCCAAACAGAGUUCUGUGCUAUAGGUCUGCCACACAGCUUCCUCUUGCGCUUCCCUUCACCAUGUUGAUGCAAAUAAUCCAUAAUCAAUCUAUACGUCAAAAUUGGGGUGAGUUUAUUAUGAGCCAAGCUUGAGGACUGGAGCUUGGGGCCUUCCUUCCCCAAGGAAGAAAGGGCACCAAAGAAGUGGGGUGUACCAAAUGGUUAUAUAGCAUCUUGGAACAAAGAGUAUACAUCACUUAUGACAGAAUACCUGUUUUACUACUGUCACGAGAUGCUUGGCUGGCACAGCAGGUCGGUGGUCACAAGGUGAGCACAGCAGGUCAGUAUUUAAUGUUUAGUUUCCAGGAGGAAAUGCUUAUCUUUAAAGAAAUGCCGAUAUGGGGGGAAAUUACUUCCCUAUCUUUAAGGACAUCAUUCUUGUCUUUGGGACACUAUAAAUGUUUAAAGCAGAUGUACAAUGCACGCUCAACAGGCCACGUCAGGCUCUUUUGGAAAAGCAAGGUCAGGCCAAGUUAGUUUUAAGCCAAAUGGCUUCCUCAUUUACUCCAAUAUAUCCUAUUGCUGUUCAUUUAUUUAUCAGCCACGACUGAGAAUUCCCUUUACCUCUCUCCUCAGUUGGAUUCCAUGUGUACUGGAUCCCAGCUCUCCCUCUGUUUUGGCUUACUACCUUAUCUUGGUAGAAAGCAUCCUCCAGUAGCUUCUUAUGGAAGAGUGCAUUGAAGAUGUCGCCGCAUGUUUUCCCUUAGAAGAGGACUUCCUCGUCACGUAACUAGUUCAAUAUGCCGCACUCUGUCCUGGGAAUGGAUGUUCCACCCGUCAAAGCGACUCGGUGUGUGUUCGCGCCAUCUAGUGGACAACUCGGAUUUAGCACCGCAGGCUUUACGUCUGGCCGGGCGCCUCCGGAAAGCACGGAAAGAGCCAGAAAGCGGCACUACUGUGUCCUCGGUGUCUCUGUGCAGAAUCUCCCCAAAGAGAAGUGUCUCCUCUAUUAUGUGGAAAGAAAACACACAUUUAUUUUGUAGUUUAUUUUAUUACCUAUUUUAGUUCAUCUUUAUGACUUUCUUCGUCUUGCCGUUGAAAUUUAAAAUGUUUCCUAAUAUCCUUGUGGGAGAUGAUAAAAAUAACUCAUAUAGCUGUUCUCCUUUCUUUAUAACAGUGUUUUUAUUCAGCAAGGAUUGGAUUCUAUUUCUUUCUCCUCUGGGAUGUUUCCCUAGUCCACGGCUGACCUUUCUUAGGAAUUAAUUGAAAAGGAAAUGGCAGAUACCAUUCAGCCCCUGGGCCUGGUAAACCAGUAGAGGCCAGGCUUGGAGGUCGCCGGGGCCAGCUGAGACAAGCUGCCAGGGAACUCUGCUGCUCUGUGUUAGGAAGACUUCUUGUUACCCUGAUGUGGAUGAGCUGAUCACACACGACCACACCUUCAGGGCAAAUGUCCCUGGGUAUCAAUAAAGCUCUGCAUACCGAAAAGGGUGUAAAUUCCAGACCCCGCCCAGAUGAACCGGGUCUAAAGUUACAAAUAACAUGUAUCGUGGCCAAGUUCAUCGACAGGAACUGUUUCCGCAAGAAAGAUGCUGAUCAAAACAGAGUUGAACAGAAGACGGAGUAGAAGAAAGGGAAAAUGAAUGAUUCAGUUAUUGCUAACUCGUAGGAUAUAAAUAUUUGGUAAAUAAGAAACGAACUUUUGAGAGAAAAACGUUAAUUCACUGAGAAAUAAGGAUAAUGAAUUCAUUUUAAUUGUCUGCCUAAUUUCAUACAUGUAACCUACUUCUUUCCUUGAUGUCAUAUUAUCAUGGGAUCUUUAGAAGGGACCUUGAAAUUUCAUGUGACACAUUUCAGUGAUUGCAGGUCAGAACUCAUUUCAUCCAUCCAGGGAAGUGAGAGUCUAUCUGCUCUCAAAGAAUUAGGAAGAAAGGGAUUCCAACCUGAUGGGGAAACGAAAUGAUAAGGAUUAUGAGAAUGAUGGGAUGGGGAGGGGGCCUUUUUCUGUUGCCCCGGAUUUGAAAGAAGGCCCAGAGCUAAAAACGGUAAUCGGGAUCUGAAACUUUCUCCAAAGUUUUUCUAAGGGGCUGAUGAACUGGGCCUCAGUCCCCACCUACACCCCCUGCCCCUUAAUACCCAGUCCAGGGUCUACAGCAGAAGCCUGAGGAGAAGUGAGGUGGGCCGUUCCUCCCCUCCCACUGGGGAGGGACUUCUCCUGACUCCCACUGCCUAGUAACGAAAGAGGCUCUGACAGUGGCUUUCAGGGCUGAGCCUGGUCACCUCUGCUUAGGUAGCAGACUUGCUGGGCUGCCAUUCCUCCCAGAGCCCAGAAGAUGGAAGCUGGGGAGACCUGGCUGGCCCGGUGGAAUUGGCGACAGUGGAGCAGCCAGCUUGCCCGCCUAUUAUGUCGCAUGACCAGGGUGCAGGAAAUUCCUUAGGACCAGAGGACGUAAGGAAGGCAGCUAUCCUUGAGCCACCUGGCUAUACGCCCCUCCCACCCCCAAAGACUGUGCACCAUGAUUUGGGUAUAUUACUGGGCUAGUUGAGGGGUAAGUGGGAGAGGUCCAGCUAGAGCUGAAUCUUCCGUAUUGGGGCACUGCGCACUGGGAAGACCCGUCUGGCUAAAUUUCACAUGUGCUCCCCAUGAGGCAGAGUUCAGAUGCUGGCAUGCACACUCAGGGUUGCCGGAGAAGCAGAGCAGUCAACAGAGAGGGGGCCACAGCUGUCUCUUUCCUUCGCUUUCUUCCUGACUCCCAUCCUGAGGGGAGCCAGGCCUGGGAGGGGGAAGAAGGAGUGUCUCAGAGCCUGGACUCCCUCCAGCCUCAUCUCACUCCAAGCAGUCAGGGGCUCGACACGUGCCCUCUCUGCAGGGGUGGGAGAGGGAUGAGAUAGACUUAUGUAGAGUUUGAAAUUGAAGUCUUAGAUGAUCUUCUUUUAGUAUCCAAAAGUGAAUAGGAAGUGAUGCAGUCUGCCCAGGAUGUCAUGGAGUGAUGGCAAAGGGAAAAGUGGAAGAUGACAAAGGCGGGUGCAGUUCUGAUCACCAGUUCCAGUGUGUGGUUUUUUUCCCCACAGCACCAAGCAAUUCUCAAGUCACCAGCAGGGUGUCCUGUAAUUCAGCUCAGUUCUGAUGCUGUCUACGGGAGACAGCAUCAGAUUCCACAGGGUAAGGGCUCAGCCCCACGAGACUGCCUCCAAUUCAGAUGCCAAUCCCAAGUCCAGGUUGUCACCUGUGCUUCUGCCCAACUGGCUGUAAAUUAAAGGAACCCAGGACCCCCUCCUCAGGUUCAAUUAAUUUGCUAGAGCAGCUGACAGAACUCAGGAAAACAGUUUACUUACUAGAUUACCAGUUUGUUAUAAAGGACAUUAAAGGAUAUGAAUCAACUGCCAGGUGAAGAGAUACACAGGACAAUGUCCCAAAUGAAGGAGCUUCUGACCCUGUGGAGUUUGGGACCUGGCACAUGGCAGCAUUCUGGUUCACCAACCUAGAAGCUCUCUGAAUCUCGUCCUUUUGGGUUUUUAUGGAGGCUUCAUUACAUAGGCAUGAUUAGUUAAAUCAAUGGCCAUGGGUGACUGAUUCAAUCUUCAGGCCCUCUCCCCUCCUGGGAGGUCAGGGGGUGGGACUGAAAUUUCCGACUCUCUGUUCACAGGAUUGGGUUCUCUGACAGCCAGCCCCCCUCCUAGGUGCUUUCCGGAGUGACCUCCUUAACCUAACAAAAGACACCUUUAUCUCUCUCACUUAGGAAAUUCCAAGGCUUUCCGGAGCUCUGUGCCAGGAGAAGGAUGAAGACCAAACAUAUAUUUCUUAUUAUAAAUCACAUAUCACAGCAGGGAUUAGGAAGAAGUUAGGUUAUUUCACAUUUAUGUCCCAUUAAGUAGAGACAAAUUGGCUACGUAAGUAUAUAGUGGGAAUGCUAUUUAAAAACUGAUAUAAUUCUUAUUUUCCUAAUUCCUGUUCCUCUUCCAUCCUUCACCUUUAAGGCUUAUUUCCCAGGGAAGAAAAUGAUGAUAUCAAAGAAAUUCUGAAGGAAAUCGUGACAAUCAGUGUUUUCCACCCAAUGGGAAGAGAAAGUAGAUAUCACUUCUAGUUUCUAGGAAGCUGUGUCUUUUGGGGCUGCCAUGAAAAAAUACCACAGAUUGGCCUAAACAACACAAAUUUAUUUUCGCUCAGUUCUGGAGGCUGGAAGUCCAAGAUCAAGAUGCCAGUAGAUUUGGUUCCAGCAUAAUAUACAGAAAUGCUGAACAUUCCAUUCAACCACGUGGGACAAACUGGGAAUUCCUGAGGAUUAAAUUUCAGCAUGAGGAAUGAGAAAAUUCCAUACAAUUAAGAGGAGACAGGAAGAAGGAAAUGGCAGACCAGAGGUGACAUCACAUUUGAGGUGUGAUCAACAUCAUUGGUCAGCACCGAGGGGGGACAUUCCAGACAGUUCUGGAGAGCUGGACCUGAGGUCGGAGAGCAAUCUUGUAAGCAGAGAAGAAAGGAGCAUCAAACAGUGCCUAUUUUGGGGACCUUGACCGUCCAGUAAAUCGCAUCAUAGUACACCCACCGUUACAACGUUUUACAUUUGCAUAACAGUUUUGGUCUAAGAAUCUUGGAGAUUUUUCAAGAAACAGCAUUGCUAUUAUAGUUCUGUUUUAAUAUAAGUGGAAAUAGUGAAUCACAGGAUUAAAGUAACUUUUCAAGGCAUUGUUUAGUGCUAGAUGAGGCUGUUAGUUGGUAAGAAGUAUAAAAAUCAAGAAGAAAUGUACAUGAAUCUAACGACAUUGGCCAAAAUAAAGCAGAAUUGUGAUCCCAACAA